GAGACAUAACAUGUUGAUCAGAGCGAGUCGUCGGAAAACACGAGUAGCAGUGUCGGAAUCCACCGGCUGAUUAAGUUUGAAAUCCACCAUAGAAAUUAGAACAAAACAGAGAUAGAAGAAUAGGAAUUAAGGAAUGAAUGAGUAAUAUAUAUACCUUUAGGCAAUCAAAACAUUCACCCCCAAGUCUUUGAGAUGGAUCCGCUUUAUAGCUAGCUUCUGUCGACAUCGUCCGUUUGGGCCGCUAUCCUUACUUUCAAUUCGGUUGCACUCGAAAUUACCUAUGUGUCCUCUAUCAUAACUACUGACCUUUAUCUAGUAUUCUAUAUAAUUCCUAAUGUACGUACGUGCUUUUUUUGUUGUUGAUUGUUCUACUUCUUUUAUUUGUUUUCUCACUAAGUAGCUCUUCGACAUGGUUCAUAAGUGAGUUUUUUUCCCCUUCUCUUACCUGACAGUCAUCCCUGUCGUCCG
rnacentral:lncRNA from 1 species